GAGACCAGAGGCAGUUCCUUGCCAGCAGCCCAAGAAGAAGGAGCUCUCUGCUGCAAAAGAGAGGAGAAGCCUGCUGAAAGAGCAGCACAUGAUACAGCUGUGGGAUGAAGAACCCUGGCUCCAUCAGCAAUGGAAAUUAAACUGUGUUAACUGAACUCGUUUUGAAUACAAAAGAAAUUCAGUUCCAUCUAAUGAAGUUUAAACAGAUUCCCUGACUGAUGUGUGCCAGCUCUAGCUAUUUCAAAGCAGUUUUUAGAACUUCUUCACAGCAUACUUUUUCAGCUAUCUGACAUCUGUGCAUGGGAAGAACAUUGUGAUAGCAACACUUGGGCUACUACAGCACUUCUCUCUUCUCAUCUGUUGUUGGUUCAAGAGGCACCAAGAAACAUGGUUCUGCAAAAGGAGAAGUUUUAGCAUAUAUCCAUACUUUUUCUUCCCCUCACACAGAUGGCAGUUCAGGAAGUAUUCCAUAAAAAUGUAACAUUAAAUAAAAUGUAAAUGUAACAGUUUUGGACACAGAGUUCUCUCCCAAAUGCUCAAGUUUAUAGCCAUUCAGUGCUUAUCCUUAUGAUACAGCUUAAUGCCUUGACUUGAUAUACAACAGUGUGGCCCAAAGUGAUGCAAAGCAAUUAGGGUUGACUGGAAUUAAACUAAAUAGACCCUGUAGGCACUGGGACAAACCUGUUUGUCUUGGAAAUGAAGCUGACAGAAUCUGCUCAAAACAGCAAUGUAAGAGGCAUGUAUGGAAAGAAAGUGCAGUAAGGGGAAAAAAGGGUAUCCAUAACCUGUAAUUGAAGCCAAGGAGAAUUGCAAAGAUUAUGAUUGACUAUGCACAGGAUUUGGCCCAUAGCAUUUGACAUCAUGAAGCCAAACUUUAGGGAAACUGUCAGUAUAAUUUCCACAGGGAACCUAAGUAAACUAAAUUAGCACUCUGCUCCACUGUUGGGGGGUUGUUUCUUUAUAAAAGAAUGUAACUCUCUCUCUCUUGCAUCCAGUUUUUUACUAGCAGUUCUUACUAAGAUCUGAAGAAGUGAAUCUUCAGAUCUUAGUAAGAACU